GCCGGUAUAGCUCAGUUGGUAGAGCACCUGAUUUGUAAUCAGGUUGUCACGGGUUCGACUCCUGUUACCGGCUCCA
rnacentral:tRNA from 1 species